CAGGGAGAGAAGCCAGUUGCUGGUCCUAAAUCCUUUCCACUCACUUCUGUGGCUGGUGCCAGAGAGCACUCCCCAUAGAACUGUGAGCCGAGCAUUGGCAGGUGCCAUGCCUUGCCCAUCGGGAUCGGAUGCAUUGGUUUUCUUCGUGAACGGGAGGAAGGUGACAGAAAGAAAUGCAGACCCAGAAGUGACUCUGCUGACCUUCCUACGAAAAAACUGAACCCUUUUUAGCUAAGUCCUGGCUGUGUCUGUUCCUUAAAAAUCAAGCCAUGUGACCAUGGGAACUGAUCACUUCCUCCAUCCAGUUGGCCCUUGGCCCUUGCUAUUUGUUUUUGGUCAUGGUUUUAAGUUGGAUCUCAGGUGAAGGAGGCUAGUUUGGAGAGGAAGAAUUUUCCCAGAGGUGCUUAUAUUUAAUAGCAUGAAAUAGAAACUAAGCUCUUCAUUUCCUCACGAAAUAGUCCCUGGAGGGCUUUGCAGGUCCCCAGCAGAGUGUCAUGUAAUAGAAGUCCUGUUACCUGCCCCUUCAUGAAACCAAAUUCUCCAGAAUCAGUGAGACAGUGUCAGAGGAAAAGAUUUUCUUUCCCUAUACCUGCUUUCUGACACCAGACUCCUCCAACCCCAUUUUAUAUUCUGGAAUCUAGAUCUUCAUAAUGGCCAACAUAUUUUAAUGGGCAAAUCUAAUGGAUCUCUUGGAAUUGCCAGAAAAAUUAAAAUAAUUGAGAGAAAUUUCAAAUUGAUUAAAUUGGCCUCUACAAUAUUGUUUAUAAGCCCACAAGCUCACAUGGUUUAUAAUUAGUUGUCAAUAUUUGAAAAUUAGGGAAUUCCAUGUUUUAAAACAAAACUCAAGAUUUUCAGCUUCUCAUUGUGACUGGGAAACUGGCCAGUCCUGCGUGUCAAUAGUCUUGCUUAGAGCUCAGUAGGGACUGUUCCCUUUGAGUUCAGGCUCUCCAGUCACACCCUUGCCACUGUAUUUAUUUGUGUGACAUCUCUGGUUAAGCAUUUGAGGCCAUGUUUUAAUUCAGAGUAAUAAACCCUAUCAUUAGGAAAAAAUAGAUAAUAACAAUAAAGACUCAGUGAUUCUGAAGUGUUUUUAGCCAGUCUAGUCAAUUACAUCCAGUUCCAUAAAGUGUGUGAAACAGAUCACAGGGAAAAGGAUGAAUGCGGCUGGGCCUAGAUUCAGGAUCAGACUUGGACCAAUCCAGGGGUGCUCAAGGAAAAAAUAAAAAAGUAAAGACAGGAGUUUCCUCUGAAGAUUCCUUGUUUUUAAAUACAAGCUACUGAGCAAAACUCAUAAUACGUUUUCUAAAAAUAAAGUUCUUCUCCUCCAAUUAUAUGAUUGGAGCCCAGAGGAAGACAUAUAAGAAUACUCUAUAAUGAAAUAGGAUUUUUCAAAGUUUUUACAUCAUUAUCCCAUGAUAUGCUUGUGAUAAACCUGUGACAAUAAAGUAGAUAUUAUGCCUCCUUCUGUGUAAAUUAGAAAAUAGGCAAGAAAAAAUUAAGUAUGGCCCAUGUCACAUAGCUAAUAAGGUAUGGAGUGGCCUUUAAUAAGACCUGGAAGUAAGAACAUGACUUCAGAGACCUGCAGCUCACCCCACAAAGACCUUUAGCAACACCCUAGGGAAGCAGUUAGCUAUGGCUAGAUGCAAAAUGUUCCCCUUGGCAACUUUUCCUUCAUCACCCCGACCUCCAGUAGGCCUUACAGGAACCAAGUAUGCCUGUGGAAGAGGAAGCUGUGGAGCCUGCACGGUGAUGGUGUCUAAGCACGAUCCAGUAUCCAAGAAGAUAAGACACUUCUCCAUCACUGCAUGCCUGGUGCCCAUCUGCUCUCUGUAUGGAACCGCUGUCACCACCGUGGAAGGCAUUGGAAGC